rfam:Schistosoma margrebowiei strain Zambia genome assembly, scaffold: SMRZ_contig0002963
AUCCAGCUGACGAGUCCCAAGUAGGACGAAAUGCGCAUCCUGGAU